UACGUAGGGUGCAGGCGUUAAUCGGAAUUACUGGGCGUACAGCGUGCGCAGGCGGUCUGCUAAGACAGGUGUGAAAUCCCCGGGCUUAACCUGGGAACUGCGCUUGUUACUGGCAGGCUGGAGUGUGGCAGAGGGGGGUGGAAUUCCACGUGUAGCAGUGAAAUGCGUAGAGAUGUGGAGGAACACCGAUGGCGAAGGCAGCCCCCUGGGCUAACACUGACGCUCAUGCACGAAAGCGUGGGGAGCAAACAGG
rnacentral:rRNA from 1 species